GGACUACCCGGGUUUCUAAUCCUGUUUGCUCCCCACGCUUUCGUGCAUGAGCGUCAGUGCAGGCCCAGGGGAUUGCCUUCGCCAUCGGUGUUCCUCCGCAUAUCUACGCAUUUCACUGCUACACGCGGAAUUCCAUCCCCCUCUGCCGCACUCCAGCCGUGCAGUCACAAAUGCAGUUCCCAGGUUGAGCCCGGGGAUUUCACAUCUGUCUUACACAACCGCCUGCGCACGCUUUACGCCCAGUAAUUCCGAUUAACGCUUGCACCCUACGUAUUACCGCGGCGGCUGGCAC
rnacentral:rRNA from 2 species